AUGACUUGUGAUUCAAGCUGGUUCCCUGGCAAUCCAUCCAACCAUCCUUCAACCGCCGCCGCAGCCCGCAGGUACACCACACCUCAUGCUUUACAGCUCAGCCUCCGCCAUCCGGCUCAGCGAGCCACAGCCCACAGGAAUCCUCUCCGACCAAGAAGAGAAGAGAAGAGAGAAGGGAUGGGAGGGUUCCAGCGGCAGGUGAAGGAGCGGACCAUGGAGGUGAAGGUGGCGGUGCUCAAGGGCGUCAGGGUCGUCGGCGACUUCGGCAAGAAGACGUGGAACAAGGUCAAGGCCAUCAAGCGCUGA
rnacentral:rRNA from 1 species